rnacentral:rRNA from 1 species
UACAGAGGUCUCAAGCGUUGUCCGGAUUUACUGGGCGUAAAGAGCGCGUAGGCGGCUCGAUAAGUGUGAAGUGAAAUCUCUAGGGCUCAACCCAGAAACUGCUUUACAUACUGUCGGGCUGGAGUGAUGAAGAGGUUUGUGGAAUUCCUGGUGUAGCGGUGAAAUGCGUUGAUAUCAGGAGGAACACCCAUGGCGAAGGCAGCAAACUGGUCAUCAACUGACGCUGAGGCGCGAAAGCGUGGGUAGCAAACAGG